GAUGAACGCUGGCGGCGUGCCUAAUACAUGCAAGUCGAGCGAACAGACGAGGAGCUUGCUCCUCUGACGUUAGCGGCGGACGGGUGAGUAACACGUGGAUAACCUACCUAUAAGACUGGGAUAACUUCGGGAAACCGGAGCUAAUACCGGAUAAUAUAUUGAACCGCAUGGUUCAAUAGUGAAAGACGGUUUUGCUGUCACUUAUAGAUGGAUCCGCGCCGCAUUAGCUAGUUGGUAAGGUAACGGCUUACCAAGGCAACGAUGCGUAGCCGACCUGAGAGGGUGAUCGGUCACACUGGAACUGAGACACGGUCCAGACUCCUACGGGAGGCAGCAGUAGGGAAUCUUCCGCAAUGGGCGAAAGCCUGACGGAGCAACGCCGCGUGAGUGAUGAAGGUCUUCGCAUCGUAAAACUCUGUUAUUAGGGAAGAACAAAUGUGUAAGUAACUAUGCACGUCUUGACGGUACCUAAUCAGAAAGCCACGGCUAACUACAUG
rnacentral:rRNA from 1 species